UCCGCUUCCUUUCUCCUCGGCCCUCCGUCGCUCUGUCCUUUCCCUAAGGUCUUCGAUUCCGAAAGCUUUCAUGGUUCACAAGAGCAACACGCGUUGUCGAGGAGCUGCGGUGGAUUUUGAAUCGGGGUAGGUGUUUAUGGCCGUCUAUGAAGUGAAGUGGAGAAGAGAAGAGAAGAAUGGACAGACUCGUGGGCCGGAAUCGAGGGAAGGCGAUGGGCGAUUGAUGUUACUCAUCUCAUUGCUCCCCCUCUUUUUUCCUGAAGAAGUUGAUAUUUGUGAUCCACGGGUUGAAACCAUUUGUAGUUGCUGGCGUUCCAACACGGAAAUUUGGUGAUCGAUUCCAUUCAUGUGAACAAGAAAGUGUAGUUUCUUUCAGAAUUCCAAGAAAAGGAUGUUUUGCACAUUCAUCGAUUUUGUGGGCUUACAUUUCAUAUCCAUGCUAGUUUCAGUUUGCAGAGCACAGUCAGACUAGUCUGUGGUGGAGAACCAAAGAAUGGCAUCUUCUUAGCAAGACAACCUGGUGCCUUUGGCCUACUGUUCUAGUUGAGAUUUACCCGACACUCUUUGGUUCAUUUCUGAGGAUGUAGACUCAACUCAAUGAGAUCAGCAGCUGUAUGUGGUGGUACAAGCAGAUGCUGAGCAUCAACCUCUGUUAUCAGCAGAAUUUUUUCUCCGGAGUUUACUGAAUGUGCGUGCUCUGGGAGACAAGAAUGAAUCAAUUCGAUUAGGUGUCAUCAGAUACAUGUGAGACACCAGCAGCAACACUUAUCGAUUAGGUUCAGUCUUUGGGUCCAUCUCUUGUUGCAACAGUUGCUACUAUUCCUCAUGGCUCAAGAAAUGUCAUUUCCACUGCAGAUGGCAAUGGGUUGAAGGAAAUCCUUGCUUGUGAGUGCAAGUUUGCCAGUGGACUACAUAGAUUUUGCUUGAACUCGAAACUUCAUCCAUAUCUUUCCCUGGCCAGAAAACUUUUGGGAGUAGGUAGAACAAGAUAGUUUGAUAUGGACAACGGAAGGCGUCAAACCUACCCAACUACUACUACUACUACUAAUUCAAGGGAUGUGAGUUGUUUCAAGUAAGAAGAUGACCUCAUGAACAGUCUCUGGAGUGGCCAAGACCUGUUCAGUUCAAAGAGGAAGCACCUAACACCAGACAGACAUAAAUAGGAGGUCAUAAGAAAACUACAAGAAACUUGACAUUCCAUUAUUGAUCUGCCAGACUACUUCCCCAAGUACUUGUCAUUGUAGUGUGCGGUUCAUUUGCCACCGUUUUAGUUGUGAGGAUAGGAUAUGCAAUAUUAUUCUGUGAGAUGGAGUAACUUUGGUCUAAAUUCAGGCAAAAAAAACAAAGAAAGAAGAAGAAGAAGAAGAAGAAGAAGAAGAAGGAGCGGGUGUUAAAGAAGCACACGCCCAUCGCAUCGUCAUGUGAUGAAAACCGACCGUCUGACAUGCUGUAGCGGCUAAAAUGGUGUCAGACGUUAUCCCUGGGAUCUCAUGGAGCCCAUAACCAACCCGUGGGUUGCAGCAUGAUUAGUUGGAUGAAAACUAGCAUGUUUUAGAUUAUUAUUUUCUAUGUUAUUUAUGCAUAGACUGAAACGUUUGUCAUCUCAUCACCUUGAAAUCCAUCCUCCUGUGUGUGUGCAUAGAGAGUGUUAGUGGUGGGAGAGCCAUCCAUCAUGAGAACAAAAAACACAGAGCUCCCAACAGAGUCGAGACAAACCGUGGCGAUUAUUAAGGGUGGAUUCUGCAAUUCUGAGUGGCAUUUCACAUUAAAUGCAUGAAUGUCCACAACCAUUUUCCUCACAAAGGCAAGGCUAAGAAAGCUUCAUCUCCAUGCCUUGAAUUGUUUUUCUUCUCAAAAAAGUCAACUGAUGAUGUAAAGAGAAAAAAAACUGAAACUGUAUUAUCAACAAGAAAGAAAGAAAGAAAGGUUUGGGGAAGAAGCAAUCUGCUCUCCAUCAAUCCACCAAUUCACAUCUCUGCAACUCGAUCGAGUCAGUGACUGCUCACGCGCAACAGUAGAAAGCCAGCCAACAUCACACGCCUCGCCAAGCUUCUUCAAGUGCUCUUGAAGGCUUGUUGUAUCAGCAGGGAGAACCCCGACGCGCCGCCUUGCUCCCUGUCCACCGUCUCCUCCUCCAGCCACAGCCUGCUCUCCAACGCGCUCCGCUUCCGGAACAUGAACACCGCCCACCCCGGCGCGUUGCCGAACCUCCACCCGUGCAUGUCCCACAUCAUGUCCACCGGCGACCCGUCGAUGAAGAGCGUCUGGUUCCCCCGGAAGUUCCACCGCAGCCGCCUCACGUGCACCACCCGCUUCUUGUCGACCGUCACCGACAGCUCCGACUCCUUGGCGUCCCACCCGUCUUCCUUGCACCUGAUGGUGAUCUCGUGGUCGCCGCCGUCCUCCCGAAACCGAGCUCUCGUGGAGUGAAGUCCCUGGCCGAUGACCUGUUCUUUCCGGCUGAUCAUCGAGGAUUCCGCGACCGGAAGCGCCUCCUCGAACCUUCGCGUGCAUUCUUCGCUCAUGUCUCCGAGCGACAGCGCGAGCUCCGAGUUCACGACCAUCACGACAUAGAACCCAUCGAUCGGCUCCGGACCCGAUCCGAACUUAGCUGAGGAAAUGUCCCAGUGAAGUCGAACGGCGCAGUCCCCGGCGGCGUACGCUCUGCUGCCCUUCUUCUUCAUCAGCAGCUGACAGUUCAUGGCGUUUGGCUCCCACCGGUCGACCGACGGGUUGUCGUCGAUGCCAACGGAAAGCAUGGGGCCGGCAUGCCCCUUGGACCAGGCGACCCUGAUGAGGAGCUCCCUCUGCGUGGCGAUCAGCCUCGUCCGGUAGAGGCAGGUGACGGCGCUUAGAACCGAGCAGCUGGUGUCGACCACCAAGGAGUUGCCGCCGCUGCUGCUGCUCCCCGAGCAGGAGGGCUCGGAGACUUUGACUGCGUGCUCGCUGAAGCAUGAGGCGAAGUUCUUCAUGGACGGAGGAAGGAGAAGAUGACCGGAAGGCAGGAGGUUCCUCUUUGCUUUGCUCACCAUUGUUGCUGUUCCGAGGUGCAUGGAAGCAGAGCAGAAAGGAAGGGAAGAAAUAUGCUUGCCGUUGCUUCUUUCUUUCUUCUUGCUUUUCAUGUCCAGUUCAUGUGGAAUCCAAAGAAAAGAAGGCUUGAAUUGGUUAUGGACUUGGUCUAAUUUAAGGUCCUUUUCUUGUGCAGUGGCGAAGAGUGUGUCGAACAAGAUAUAAAGUAAAGGUAAACAAAGUCUUAGAGCCAAGGAUGAUGUGAGAGAUUAGAGGAGCUCACGAAGAAGAAGCCAGGGUCCACCGAAUACCAUAAACAAACAGUAGAACCACCAACACCACCACCAUAGGCGGAAUGAUAAGGCUUGUCAUGUUCUCCGAGGAAUGGAGUGCGGUCAUCACCACCUAAGAGCACAGAAAAAGAAGAGUUACAUGAAGUCAAGCAUCAGCAAUGCCGUGCUCCUCCUGAGAAGAGAAAACUCCAUUACUGGUGACGUUGCCUUGUAUCUUUCCUUGGUUCAUGGCAGGAAAGCUCGUCUUCGUUCUCCACCAAUGGGUGUUUCGUGUGACCAAAGAUGGGUGAGAGCAAGCGAGGAGGAGACUUCCUUCCACGGCGGCAUCAAGCGUUGCUCGAGGGACUGAAACGGAAGGGAUCACAAGAGAACAGUGCUUGUCUCGUUUGCGUGGCACAGGAGACCGGUAGGUGCAUGAAAGGGAGGCCGUGCUUUCUGUUGUGUCGACCGAGACAGGAACCAGAAAAUGGAGCGCAUUACUAUCCAGAGAGGCGAGGGUCUCGGCCGCGAGGUGUGGCCACAUUAAAGGGCAUGCGGAACCCUGUCGGCGGUGCGACAGGGAGAUGAGAGGGAAGGGGGUCCUGCGGACAAGAGUGCAGUUGAGCAGUUGAUUGUCGAGGACCAUUCACCGUUUGUUCUCUCCCCAUUUAUUAGGGAUAUAGAAAGCUUGAGAUGGCAGUAAGUUUCCCAUUCCCUUGGGGAAAAUGAAGUCUCUCUCUCUCUCUCUCUCAAACAAACAUUCAACAUUUCUCUUUGCAUA